CGCCUGCCGACCUCCGCCUCAUCUCCUUAUUCUCCCAUCUCUCUUCUCUCGUAUCUGACCUUUCUCCCCGGUGCAGCUUCCACCUCCCUGCAGAUCCACACUUUGUCGGGCGGAGGGAGCCUCCAGCAUCGCUGGGAGCAAUGGCCCAUGCCCGGCGGCACUGAGGGAUUUGGUUGACGCGUUUGAUUUUCGUCUAUGGCUUCGGUCAGGAGACUUGGGUCAAAGGCAAGCCCACGGAAGUCAGCUCCAAUCCAGUCUUCUAAGCAGGGGUGUGGGAACUGAGGCCUGCUCAAGGUGCUAUCAGUUUUUUUUCUCUGACCAUGGUGAGUUCGUGUCUUUGAACACUUUGGUUCAAUGUGACAAUGCAUAAAUUCAAAAGAUUGCUUGAUUUGUUUUCUUUCCUUUUUUUAGAGAAAUUGAUUGUAUGAACCAGUCGCAGCGUCAAAUUGUAUUUGUAUGAACUAUGCAUCAAUGUAUUUUUAGGAUCACAGCCCAAGGCACAAAAACCAGUUGCUGUAAAUGGUAUAAAUACAGAACCUGAUAAUAGUCUUUCAUUUAGAUGCUACAAUUUCUGGUGGCGGCUCGCACAGCUUGCACCAUGUUUUUCUUUAACUUCUUCCCUUCCUUUUUAUUUCUCUGUCAUGUAUCAUGUGUGUUCCAAUUCGAGUCCCUAUAAAUAAUCGAGGGUCUUUCUCCUAGUUCUUUCCUUCCCUUUUACUUCUUUGUCACGUCUCAUGUCGUUUGAGAUGCAGUUGUCCUCAAAGCAAUUUUCUUCCUUUAUUUCUCUGUCACGUCGGUCCUCAACCUGGGCUCAUUGAUUUUCAAGUUAGCUCCUUAAUACCGAGAAAAUCAAAGACAUAUAUGAAUUGGAGAAAUUGUGUGUAAGAAACCGAGGCGGGACUAUUGUAGAACAAUCUUUGCUUGCAGCCGAGGUGGGCUAGCUCGAUUGGUUUUAAUAAUUUUAGAAGGUGAAAGGAUUAGAAAUUUAGAGAAAUGCAUCUUGCUUUAUUAGUAGGUAAUAGAUGUAGAUGUGUCUGCUACUCCUAAGAUAGUUGUUUAAAUCUGAUCUGUUGUUUCUAGAAUAUGUGGAUGACUGAAUCAUGUCAAGAUUUGGCCUCGUGUAUGCUAUCUUCUAUUUCUAACCAUAGAACACCGAGGUAUCUUUGGAAAGGAAAUAACAUGAUGAGCAUUGAACCUGACUGUGAGUGAAUAACCACCACCCCCUAACUAAAAAAAGUAAUGAUAUUGGCAUCUAUAUUACCGAAAGUACAGUACACAUAAGCUAUAUAUACUUUCAGUUUUACUACUGGGAAAGGCUUGUUACACUUCAGUAUACACAAUAGUACAUGCUUUAACCUGUCAAAUAUGUAUUGUCAUAAACAAAGAAAAAUGUAUUUGAUUUGCCAUGGAACUGCUUGAAAUCGAAGAUAUGGACAAUGGUGCAGCACACAAAUCAAAUCAGCAUCACAUCUUAAACUGAGGUAUGUUUAUGAUCAGUCUGAAACUCGAAUCGAUAGGCUGAAUAUACACAAUGAAACACAGGUUUUAGUGAGAUUCUCAGAUUCACACAGGAAAGUUGCUUGGAACUUUAACUGAAAAAAAUCAUGUUAUUAUUUAGACCCCUUUGUAGUGGAGCAUAUGUAUAAUGUGAGAAGUAGAUAUAGGAUAAACAUAUAGCUAGGAGUAUAAGGAUUUUUUGCACUUGUCAGAGUAAAUAUAUUUGAAUAGUUCUACUUCUAACUCAGCUAACCAAUCAACAUCAUAUAUUUAUUAGAACUGUCAUAAACUCUGAAGGUAUAUCUUGUAGUACUAAAUUUUUUUUGCCUUUAGGAAUUUAGUCUGCUGCUGUGAAGUUCAAAGCAAUUUUGUUCAUUCUCCGACUCCUGCAUUCUUUUCAAUUGUCGUGCAGAAAAAGGGGGUUUGAAAAUAAAGCUUCCAUGGCAUGCAGAAACAGAGCAUGUGGUUGGAUCAACAAUAGAACAACCUACGGGGAUCAGGGAGGAGAGCAGCAGCCUGCUGCUUCUUGGUUACUGCUCCCUCUGUUGAUCAGGGAGUACUACACAUCUAUACAGAGAACACAAAGAACAGAAGGCUGAUGCAGUGAUGCUUGCUGCUUUCAAGGGGAUACAUACCUCUGUUGUGGCAGCAGCCCUCUGCUUCUGCUGCCCGUUGCCGCUGCUGCCUCCCGCUUCUGCCCUCUGCUGCUGCUGCCCGCUGCCUCUGCUUGCCACCGCUGCUGCUGCUUGUCAUUGCUCCUUGCCGCGAGCUCGACGGCGUCCAUGUAGGAGCUCCCCUGCCCGCGCGUCGUCUCCGACCCGUGUGCCUCCUCCUCGUCCCUGCGCAGCAACAACAGCUCCUCCAGGCCGCCCUGCCUCUCUUCCUUCUCCCUUUCUCCUUCCUCCCCUGGCUCUUCUUCUUGUCUCUCUCUCUCAACACCAACUCACUCUUUCUCUGUUACCUACAGGAGGCCCUGCGUCGUUCCGCAUCGAGCAGCCGCCGCCCCCAGUCGCUCGUUAUGCACGAGUCUUUUUUGCAAUGUUUUCUCAGAGCCAGGAUUGCGGGUUGAAUACACCAAAAUGGAGGGUCCUUUUUGAAAAAC